rfam:Mycobacterium sp. MOTT36Y, complete genome.
CUUGAUCGACCCAAGCCACAGCGGCUCGCUGCGAUCCUGCCCGUAGGUCGCCAGCAGCGCCUGGGCCUC